CUUCACCGAACCCAGCCACAACGGCAUACCCUCGGCACGGUCCUGCCCCGUAGGUCGCCAACAGAGCCUGCGCCUC
rnacentral:antisense_RNA from 1 species